CAGGAACCAAAGCAGAACAUUCCUUUUUCUUUUCUUCUUCAAGACUCAAUACAGAGAGCAAAUACUCGCAUCUCACUAGAAACUAUUUACACGAACACGGAGAUCGAAAAGAGAGCGAGCAGUCGAAGAGAGGUAUUUCCGGCGAGAUAUCACUGAAAAAUGCUACAGCCAUCUGCUUUUCUCCCUUUUGCCGAUAAUACCGAGCUCACUGGAGCUCCGGUGUAGUGAAAACACGACGGCCAUCCCCUUUGUUCCGUCCGAAUCCGCAUCAAACCAUUUUUCCGACCUCGGAAUCUGGUCUGUUUUCACGGUUGUGGUCGUCUUCUGCGUCACCGGUGAGAAAAAGUGAAACCGGCGCAAAACUUGGCAGAUCUGACCGGACAACGUCAAAAAUUGGCCGGUAUCUUUUGUCAUUUGUUUGGUUUAGGCGUCACCGGUCGAACGGGAGUUGUUUUUCGUCCUUGUUGCGAAUCGAUUUGGCGAUUAACCUCGCGCACUAAUUUGGUGAUUCCGAUUGCGAUUUCUAUUUCUGGUUCAUCGCUUCUCAUAUUAUUUUUUUUUUGGAAUUGGCUUUGGUACUUCAUCGGGUUCGUUCCUGUUUUGGGGAUUGGUUUUUUUUUUCGUUGGUCUUAAUCAAUUUUGUGGUGCAAAUUCUUUAAUAUCGGCGUUGGGAUUCGUCACUAUUGAGGUUCUGUUCCAAGUUCUGAAGUCCGGGCCUUCUUAAAUGUUAUUAUCAACGAAAUCGACUAUUGAAAGGUCCAAUUCUACUCUUUUCUUUUUCUAUUUUAUUGUUUACUAUGCUUUGAU
rnacentral:lncRNA from 1 species